UACGUAGGUGGCAAGCGUUGUCCGGAAUUAUUGGGCGUAAAGCGCGCGCAGGCGGUCCUUUAAGUCUGAUGUGAAAGCCCACGGCUCAACCGUGGAGGGUCAUUGGAAACUGGGGGACUUGAGUACAGAAGAGAAGAGUGGAAUUCCACGUGUAGCGGUGAAAUGCGUAGAGAUGUGGAGGAACACCAGUGGCGAAGGCGACUCUUUGGUCUGUAACGUGACGCUGAGGCGCGAAAGCGUGGGGAGCAAACAGG
rnacentral:rRNA from 1 species